rnacentral:rRNA from 1 species
AAGGGUUGUGCUGUUCGCCCAUUAAAGCGGUACGCGAGCUGGGUUCAGAACGUCGUGAGACAGUUCGGUCCCUAUCCGUCGUGGGCGUUAGAAGUUUGAGAGGAGCUGUCCUUAGUACGAGAGGACCGGGAUGGACGCACCGCUGGUGCACCAGUUGUUCCGCCAGGAGCAUAGCUGGGUAGCUACGUGCGGAAGGGAUAAGUGCUGAAAGCAUCUAAGCAUGAAGCCCCCCUCAAGAUGAGACUUCUCAUCAUUUUAAAUGAGUAAGAUCCCUCAGAGACGAUGAGGUAGAUAGGUUCGAGGUGGAAGCGUGGUGACACGUGCAGCUGACGAAUACUAAUCGAUCGAGGACUUAACUAAAA